UGUGUGUCUGUAUGUUAUCAGACCUUUAUCUGUGUCACCUUGUCAUCUCCUCUCCUUCUGCUAGACAUAUUUAAAUCAUGUCCAUGCUACGGUUUAUUUGCUAUAUUGCAAUUCUUUUAGGUCUUCCAAGGUUACCUGGUAAUUUCCCCUUCACGCACACAUACAUAUACUCUUAAACAUACACACACACUCAUAUACAAUCACACACACACACAUACAUGCACGUACGCAUACACACUCUCAGUCCGUCCCCUGUGUGUAGCCAGUGUAGCCAUGUCCAUUGUAUGUGAGGCUGUUUUUAUUUUAUUUUAAUUCCAGAAAGAGAGGGAUGCCUUCAUAUGGGCCCCAAUGCAAGGGAAGGUUGCAACCCAGGUCUCUCUAACAACACUGGCGCAAAUCCUUAAGCAUCACAUCCAGAUGAAACAACUGUACCGAGUGCCAUUUGAAAGAAAUUCUGAAAGAGUAAAAGACCUAUGGCAUGAAUAUGUGGAGAUGAGGCUUGGUUCAACCUGAAUAAGUAAGAAGAAGAUGGAGAAACAUCAUUGGCCAUAGAGCUAUUUUGAAUGUCUCGGGCCAACGUGGAGGCAACAUCACAGUGUGUGCUGCAAUCACACAGAAUGGGAUCCUACACCGCCAUGCCAAGUGAGGUCCUUACAACACGGCCCACAAGACAGACUUCACAACAUUGUCACAGCAGAAAUGGAUGCCAAGCAGAUGAGAUACAUUGUCGUCUGGGACAAUGUAUCUUUCCACCGAUCUGCUCUUGUCCAAAACUGGUUUCAUGAUCAUCCACAAUUUUCACUCCAAUACCUCCCACCAUACUCUCCCUUCCUCAACCCCACUGAAGAGUUUUUUUCAGCAUGGUGGUGGAAGGUUUACGAUCUCCAGCCCUAUGUCAGGAUACCCCUCAUUCCAGCCAUGGAGGAGGCCUGUGACCUAAUUGAUGCAGGGUCUGUGCAAGGAUGGAUUCGCCAUUCAAGAAGAUUCUUCCCUCGCUGUCUUGUGAGAGAGGACAUCGCCUGUGAUGUGGAUGAAGUGCUAUGGCCAGAUCCAGCUAGGCCAA